rnacentral:rRNA from 1 species
AUUGAACGCUGGCGGCAUGAUUUACACAUGCAAGUCGAACGGUAACAGGCCGCAAGGUGCUGACGAGUGGCGAACGGGUGAGUAAUGCAUCGGAACGUGCCCAGCCGUGGGGGAUAAUUACUCGAAAGAGUAGCUAAUACCGCAUCCGAUCUAUGGUUGAAAGCGGGGGACCGUAAGGCCCCGCGCGAUUGGAGCGGCCGAUGUCAGAUUAGGUAGUUGGUGGGGUAAAGGCUCACCAAGCCAACGAUCUGUAGCUGGUCUGAGAGGACGACCAGCCACACUGGGACUGAGACACGGCCCAGACUCCUACGGGAGGCAGCAGUGGGGAAUUUUGGACAAUGGGCGCAAGCCUGAUCCAGCAAUGCCGCGUGCAGGAAGAAGGCCUUCGGGUUGUAAACUGCUUUUGUACGGAACGAAACGGCUCUGGUUAAUACCCGGGGCUAAUGACGGUACCGUAAGAAUAAGCACCGGCUAACUACGUG